rnacentral:rRNA from 1 species
AGUGAACGCUGGCGGUAGGCCUAACACAUGCAAGUCGAACGGCAGCACAGUAAGAGCUUGCUCUUACGGGUGGCGAGUGGCGGACGGGUGAGGAAUACAUCGGAAUCUACUUUUUCGUGGGGGAUAACGUAGGGAAACUUACGCUAAUACCGCAUACGACCUACGGGUGAAAGCAGGGGAUCUUCGGACCUUGCGCGAUUGAAUGAGCCGAUGUCGGAUUAGCUAGUUGGCGGGGUAAAGGCCCACCAAGGCGACGAUCCGUAGCUGGUCUGAGAGGAUGAUCAGCCACACUGGAAAUGAGACACGGUCCAGACUCCUACGGGAGGCAGCAGUGGGGAAUAUUGGACAAUGGGCGCAAGCCUGAUCCAGCCAUACCGCGUGGGUGAAGAAGGCCUUCGGGUUGUAAAGCCCUUUUGUUGGGAAAGAAAAGCAGCAGGUUAAUACCCCGCUGUUCUGACGGUACCCAAGGAAUAAGCACCGGCUAACUUCGU